UACGGGGGGGGCAAGCGUUGUUCGGAAUUACUGGGCGUAAAGGGCUCGUAGGUGGCCAACUAAGUCAGACGUGAAAUCCCUCGGCUUAACCGGGGAACUGCGUCUGAUACUGGAUGGCUUGAGUUCGGGAGAGGGAUGCGGAAUUCCAGGUGUAGCGGUGAAAUGCGUAGAUAUCUGGAGGAACACCGGUGGCGAAGGCGGCAUCCUGGACCGACACUGACACUGAGGAGCGAAAGCCAGGGGAGCAAAUGGG
rnacentral:rRNA from 1 species